rnacentral:rRNA from 1 species
AUUCCAGCUCCAAUAGCGUAUAUUAAAGUUGUUGCAGUUAAAACGCUCGUAGUCGGAUUUCGGGGCGGCUUCGUCGGUCUGCCGAUGGGUAUGCACUGACGCGGGCGUCCUUCCUUCCGGAGACGCGUCCUACUCUUAGCUGAGCGGGGCGUGGAGACGGAUCGUUUACUUUGAAAAAAUCAGAGUGUUUCAAGCAGGCAUCAUCGCUCUUGCAUGGAUUAGCAUGGGAUAAUGAAAUAGGACCUUGGUGCUAUUUUGUUGGUUUCGAGCACCGAAGUAAUGAUUAACAGGGACAGUCAGGGGCACUCGUAUUCCGCCGAGAGAGGUGAAAUUCUCAGACCAGCGGAAGACGAACCACUGCGAAAGCAUUUGCCAGGGAUGUUUUCAUUG